rnacentral:misc_RNA from 1 species
GGAAUAUCCUGCGUCUAGCAUUGUUAUGGGCAAGAAAAGGUGGCGUUUUCAAGAGACGUUUGAUGGUGGAACUACGUGUUCUACCUAAGUUUCUUAAAAGCCUCGGCCACAGUACUACAACUUCUCGCACCCAAAUCCAUUAUGGAGAACGCCAGCUUUCCUUUGACAAGACCACUAUUUUUCACGUCAAGAUGCACCGCCCGGCCUCCAUGCGAUUCAACAUUCCUUGCAUUACCCCGCAAGUCGACUUCGAUUAUGAUUUCGAUGAAGAUCAAGAAGGAGGGUAUGAGUAUGACUAUGAAGGGAGGAAGAGUUUCUUGAAAGGUGGAGAGGAGGAGGAAUACGAAGAGGAAAGCAUUCCCGAGGAGGAGAAAGAGAUUGAUUUGAGAGCUGAGGAGUUCAUAGCUAAGUUCUAUGAGCAAAUGAAGCUUCAAAGACAAAUCUCUUAUCUUCAGUACAGUUAGAUGCUAAAUAGUUUAUCAUUUCAUGCGUCCUGAGAAUUUUUGCAGAUUCUUGAUCAUUUCAUUUCUAUGUAAAAAGAUGAGGCAUUUGCGGCAAUUUGUAAGUACCGGAAGGCUUCCGUUGAGUUUAAUAAAAUUU